UACGGAGGGUGCAAGCGUUGUCCGGAAUCAUUGGGUGUAAAGGGUGCGUAGGCGGGCGCUUAAGUCCGGGGUGAAAUCUUGCCGCUUAACGGUAAGCUUGCCCUGGAUACUGGGUGCCUUGAAUCUGGUAGAGGUUGGUGGAAUUUGUGGUGUAGCGGUGGAAUGCAUAGAUAUCACGAAGAACACCGGUGGCGAAGGCGGCCAACUGGGCCAGUAUUGACGCUGAGGCACGAGAGCGUGGGGAGCGAACAGG
rnacentral:misc_RNA from 1 species